rnacentral:rRNA from 1 species
GUGGGGAAUUUUGGACAAUGGGCGCAAGCCUGAUCCAGCAAUGCCGCGUGCAGGAAGAAGGCCUUCGGGUUGUAAACUGCUUUUGUACGGAACGAAACGGUCCGGGUUAAUACCCUGGGCUAAUGACGGUACCGUAAGAAUAAGCACCGGCUAACUACGUGCCAGCAGCCGCGGUAAUACGUAGGGUGCAAGCGUUAAUCGGAAUUACUGGGCGUAAAGCGUGCGCAGGCGGUUUUUGAAGACAGGCGGGAAAUCCCCGGGCUCAACCUGGGAAUUGCGGUUGUGACUGCAAGGCUGGAGUGCGGCAGAGGGGGAUGGAAUUCCGCGUGUAGCAGUGAAAUGCGUAGAUAUGCGGAGGAACACCGAUGGCGAAGGCAAUCCCCUGGGCCUGCACUGACGCUCAUGCACGAAAGCGUGGGGAGCAAACAGGAUUAGAUACCCGUGUAGUCC